UUUUAUGGAGAGUUUGAUCCUGGCUCAGGACGAACGCUGGCGGCGUGCCUAAUACAUGCAAGUCGAGCGAAUGACGAGGAAGCUUGCUUCCUCUGAUUUAGCGGCGGACGGGUGAGUAACACGUGGGCAACCUACCUUAUAGUUUGGGAUAACUCCGGGAAACCGGGGCUAAUACCAAAUAAUCUCUUUUACUUCAUGGUGAAAGACUGAAAGACGGUUUCGGCUGUCGCUAUAGGAUGGGCCCGCGGCGCAUUAGCUAGUUGGUGAGGUAACGGCUCACCAAGGCAACGAUGCGUAGCCGACCUGAGAGGGUGAUCGGCCACACUGGGACUGAGACACGGCCCAGACUCCUACGGGAGGCAGCAGUAGGGAAUCUUCCACAAUGGGCGAAAGCCUGAUGGAGCAACGCCGCGUGAGUGAAGAAGG
rnacentral:rRNA from 1 species